CUGCUCAGUAACACGUGGACAACCUGCCCUUAGGUUGGGUAUAAACCCGGGAAACUGGGUAUAAUACCCGAUAGGUCUCGAUUGCUGGAAUGCAUCGAGAUUUAAAGCUCCGGCGCCUAAGGAUGGGUCUGCGGCCUAUCAGGUAGUAGUGGGUGUAGCGUACCUACUAGCCUACGACGGGUACGGGUUGUGAGAGCAAGAGCCCGGAGAUGGAUUCUGAGACACGAAUCCAGGCCCUACGGGGUGCAGCAGGCGCGAAAACUUUACAAUGCUGGCAACAGCGAUAAGGGAACCUCGAGUGCCAGGAUACAAAUCUGGCUGUCGAGAUGCCUAAAAAGCAUUUCAUAGCAAGGGCCGGGCAAGACCGGUGCCAGCCGCCGCGGUAACACCGGCGGCUCGAGUGGUAACCGUUAUUAUUGGGUCUAAAGGGUCUGUAGCCGGCCGGAUAAGUCUCUUGAGAAAUCUGGCAGCUUAACUGUCAGGCUUUCAGGAGAUACUGUCUGGCUCGAGGCCGGGAGAGGUGAGAGGUACUUCAGGGGUAGGGGUGAAAUCUUGUAAUCCUUGAAGGACCACCAGUGGCGAAGGCGUCUCACCAGAACGGACCUGACGGCAAGGGACGAAAGCUAGGGGCACGAACCGGAUUAGAUACCCGGGUAGUCCUAGCCGUAAACGAUACUCGCUAGGUGUCGGCCACGGUGCGACCGUUGUCGGUGCCGUAGGGAAGCCGUGAAGCGAGCCACCUGGGAAGUACGGCCGCAAGGCUGAAACUUAAAGGAAUUGGCGGGGGAGCAC
rnacentral:rRNA from 1 species